rnacentral:SRP_RNA from 1 species
UUUUGCUGUAACUCUUCUGAGGGGUGCUGGCUUGAACCCAGUGGGCUGUCAUGCUGGCGCGUCCUUGCGCUGGGCUGUCUGGCGCGGGCGGGAGUCGUCCUUGGUGGCCUUCCGUAGGGGAGGCUUCCGGGUCGUUGAAUGCGGCGUACCGCUUCAGGCUGGCAACAGAGCAGAGAUAAGCUUCAGCUUCCGCUACGCGGCAGACCGCAGCCCGCGCUGCUCGCAGUCCAU